GUGGGGAAUAUUGGACAAUGGGCGAAAGCCUGAUCCAGCAAUGCCGCGUGAGUGAAGAAGGCCUUAGGGUUGUAAAGCUCUUUUACCCGGGAUGAUAAUGACAGUACCGGGAGAAUAAGCUCCGGCUAACUCCGUGCCAGCAGCCGCGGUAAUACGGAGGGAGCUAGCGUUGUUCGGAAUCACUGGGCGUAAAGCGCACGUAGGCGGCUUUGUAAGUUAGAGGUGAAAGCCACGGGCUCAACUCCGGAACUGCCUUUAAGACUGCAUCGCUUGAAUCUGGGAGAGGUGAGUGGAAUUCCAAGUGUAGAGGUGAAAAUCGUAGAUAUUCGGAAGAGCGCCAGUGGCGAAGGCGGCUCACUGGACCAGAAUUGACGCUGAGGUGCGAAAGCGUGGGGAGCAAACAGGAUUAGAUACCCGAGUAGUCC
rnacentral:rRNA from 1 species